UUUUUUUUUUUUUUUUUUUUUGGUUUUCAGGGCCACACCGGCGGCAUAUGGAUCUAGGCUUGGGGUCAAAUCGGAGCUGCAGCUGCUGGCCUAUGCCACAGCCACAGCCACAGCAAGGUGGAAUCUGAGCCGUGUCUUUGACCUGCAUCACAGCUCCCGGCAAUGCUGGAUGCUUAACCCACUGAGUGAGGCCAAGGAUCGAACCUGCAUCCUCAUGGAUACUAGUCAGAUUUGUUUCCACUGAGCUACAACAGGAACUCCGGGGCUCAUCCUCUUUACCAUCUCUUCUCAGGAUCUGCUCCCUGCCAGGCAGGCAGCAUGCUGGCUGCUGUGGGUGGAGCAGCAAGAGGAAAGUGCCCUCCCAGAGUCUGCGGGAGAGACAGCCAUUGCACAUGACCUUGCCUGCGAGGAGGGACGAUCACAUGAGAAGUUCUCAUGCACAGCUGCUUGCAGGGCCCGACGGUCACCCUCUGUAGUGGGUGGAGUGGUGGUCUCCCACAAAGAUAUGUCCCCGACCUACUCCACCCUCAAACCUGUGAAUCUGACGUUAUCUGGAAAAAGGGUCUUUGCAAAUGCAAUUCAAGUUCAGAUCUCAAGAUAUCAUCCUGCGUCACCUGAGCCCUAAAUCCACGACAACAGUCCUUAUAGGGGAUGGAAGAGAAGACAGACACACAGAGGGGCCAUGUGAAGAUGAGAAACUGGANNNNNNNNNNNNNNNNNNNCCCGCCAGCCACAGAAGCCAGAAGAGGCAAGGUAGGCUCCUUCCCUAGAGUCUUUUCAGGAAGAGUAGCCCUGCUGACACCUUGAUUUUGGACUUCUGGCCUCCAGAACUGUGGGAGAAUCCAUUUCUGCUUCAAGCCACAUGGUUUGUGGCCAUUUGUUAAUGGCAGACCUAAGACGCCAUAGUAUCUCCCAAGUCAGGCAGCUAGAGGGACACCAUAGCCCAGAGGCAGGGUCAGAAGCACUGGUAUGUGGUCACAAAGAUGCAUGGCCACUUAAGUCAGGAGGGCCAGGCGAAUGUGGGCCACCCAGUCGGAGCUGACCCAGAAGUGCACGUUCACACACACACACAAACACACAUACACAGCCAUUCACGGGACCCAACGGUAAGGCACUUGGCCCCACAGAUACAACAUGUUGUAGUCAUGGCAGCGGCAAUGUUCACAGUCACCAAGACAUGUAAAGACCCAGAGGCCCAGGGAGGCCCCCCAGAUUGCAAAAACAGCACCCACCACCACCCAGAAACACAGGAACACAUGGUCACCCAAGACCGACAGAACGGGACGAAGGUUGCCAGCUUCUCUCAAAGGACACCCAUUUCACCAAGGCUGGAAGCAGGGGUGGGGGUGGGGUGGGGAGGUGCUGACAUGGGGUCCAGCAUGUUCUCGGUGGUUCCAGCUUAUCCCUGAUGCCCCUCCCCCAUACUGUACGUCCACCCUUCCCUCCGGACAGGCACGUCCCUGUGCCAAAUCCCUGGUCCACAUACCCACCUCCUGCUAAUGUUGUUUGGCUUGGGUUUGGCUGCAUCGAGUCUCCCAAGGAGCUAUGACACCCUGAUCCCUCAUCCCUGGCCUCUGUGAACGUCACCUCACAGGGUAAAAGGGAAGUUAAGGAUUUGGAAGGGGGGGCUUAUCCUAGGCUAUCAGGGUAGGCCCCGUGGAAUCAAUGGGGCCUCCUAAGAGGGAGGCAGGAGAUCAGAGUAGAUGUGCAGGUGGAAGCAAGGAGUUGGAGUGAGACAAGGAAGGGGCCACCAGCCAAGGGAUGCAGGUGGCCUCUAGGAGCUGGAUAACGCAAGGGAACAGAUUCUCCCCUGGAAUCCCCAGAAGGAACCAGCCCUGCUGACACUGUGACUUUGGUCCAGUGAAACUGAUUUCGGACUUCUGCCCUCCAGAACUGUAAGAGGAUGCGUUUGUGUUUUUUGUGUGUGUGUUUGUUUUUUGUCUUUUUAGGGCCGCACCCAAGGCAUUUGGAAAUUCCCAGGCU
ensembl:lncRNA